AGCAGCCGCGGUAAUUCCAGCUCCAAUAGCGUAUAUUAAAGUUGCUGCAGUUAAAAAGCUCGUAGUUGAAUUUCGGGACCGAUAUAUCGGUCGUGCCUCGGUACGUACUGGUAUUUUCGGUUUCUCCCUUCUGACGAACCUUGAUGUCAUUAAUUUGGUGUCUUGGGGAAUCAGGACUGUUACUUUGAAAAAAUUAGAGUGUUUAAAGCAGGCUCACGCUUGAAUACAUUAGCAUGGAAUAAUGAAAUAGGACGUUUGAUUCUAUUUUGUUGGUUUCUAGGAUCGACGUAAUGAUUAAUAGGGAUAGUUGGGGCAUUAGUAUUCAAUUGUCAGAGGUGAAAUUCUUGGAUUUAUUGAAGACUAACUACUGCGAAAGCAUUUGCCAAGGAUGUUUUCAUUAAUCAAAGAACGAAAGUUAGGGAUCGAAGACGAUCAGAUACCGUCGUAGUCUUAACCAUAAACUA
rnacentral:rRNA from 1 species